rnacentral:sRNA from 1 species
AAAAGAUUUUGUAUUAUUGAAACCUGAAUCUGAUUUACAAUUAUCAUGUCUUAGCAUCGAAUUAGAACUCAUGGAUACCCUAAAAUACUUGGACUUCCUUACUCAUUUUAACCACUCAU